UACGUAGGUGGCAAGCGUUGUCCGGAAUUAUUGGGCGUAAAGCGCGCGCAGGUGGUCCUUUAAGUCUGAUGUGAAAGCCCACGGCUCAACCGUGGAGGGUCAUUGGAAACUGGGGGACUUGAGUGCAGGAGAGAAGAGUGGAAUUCCACGUGUAGCGGUGAAAUGCGUAGAUAUCGGGAGGAACACCAGUGGCGAAGGCGACUUCCUGGCCUGUUCUUGACGCUGAGGCGCGAAAGCUAGGGUAGCAAACGGG
rnacentral:rRNA from 1 species